UUACUUUGGCAGAUUAGUGCAUAUAAUUUAGAAUUAUGUUAAGUAAAAUUUUACAAGUAAUAU
rnacentral:tRNA from 1 species